rnacentral:rRNA from 1 species
UACGAAGGGGGCUAGCGUUGCUCGGAAUUACUGGGCGUAAAGGGAACGUAGGCGGACUGUUAAGUUAGAGGUGAAAGCCCAGGGCUCAACCUUGGAAUUGCCUUUGAUACUGGCAGUCUUGAGUACGGAAGAGGUAUGUGGAACUCCGAGUGUAGAGGUGAAAUUCGUAGAUAUUCGGAAGAACACCAGUGGCGAAGGCGACAUACUGGUCCGUUACUGACGCUGAGGCUCGAAAGCGUGGGGAUCAAACAGG